rnacentral:lncRNA from 1 species
ACACGUGGCGACACCCUCCCGCGGUAAGAACCUUGAAGCUGUCACCAUGCACCAGUGGCUCCCCGCUAGACGACACGGCCCGUGAGUACUCCACGAGCAUCACCGUGUGUCCAACCCCUAUCCUUAUCCUGCAUGUCAGAUUCUUACCAAGCCCGAGAUGCUGCAAAAAAAAAAUCGAAAUGCACGAAAAAACGGUACAGCACAGACAUCCCUCCUGCCUCCCAGCCCCCGGGC